rnacentral:rRNA from 1 species
UACGAAGGGGGCUAGCGUUGCUCGGAAUCACUGGGCGUAAAGCGCACGUAGGCGGCUUUUUAAGUCAGGGGUGAAAUCCUGGAGCUCAACUCCAGAACUGCCUUUGAUACUGGCAAUCUCGAGUUCGGGAGAGGUGAGUGGAACUGCGAGUGUAGAGGUGAAAUUCGUAGAUAUUCGCAAGAACACCAGUGGCGAAGGCGGCUCACU